GACGAACGCUGGCGGCGUGCUUAACACAUGCAAGUCGAACGGAAAGGCCCUGCUUUUGUGGGGUGCUCGAGUGGCGAACGGGUGAGUAACACGUGAGUAACCUGCCCUUGCCUUUGGGAUAACUUCAGGAAACUGGUGCUAAUACCGGAUAGGAGCUCCUGCUGCAUGGUGGGGGUUGGAAGGUUUCGGCGGUUGGGGAUGGUCUGGCGGCUUAUCAGCUUGUUGGUGGGGUAGUGGCUUACCAUGGCUUUGACGGGUAGCCGGCCUGAGGGGGUGACCGGCCACAUUGGGACUGAGAUACGGCCCAGACUCCUACGGGAGGCAGCAGUGGGGAAUAUUGCACAAUGGGCGGAAGCCUGAUGCAGCAACGCCGCGUGCGGGAUGACGGCCUUCGGGUUGUAAACCGCUUUCGCCUGUGACGAAGCGUGAGUGACGGUAAUGGGUAAAGAAGCACCGGCUAACUACGUG
rnacentral:rRNA from 1 species